AUUGAACGCUGGCGGCAGGCCUAACACAUGCAAGUCGAACGAGUGGCGGACGGGUGAGUAAUGUCUGGGAAACUGCCUGAUGGAGGGGGAUAACUACUGGAAACGGUAGCUAAUACCGCAUACCAUCGGAUGUGCCCAGAUGGGAUUAGCUAGUAGGUGGGGUAAAGGCUCACCUAGGCGACGAUCCCUCGCUGGUCGGAGAGGAUGACCAGCAAAACUGGAACGGGGACACGGUCAAGACUCCUACGGGAGGCAGCAGUGGGGAAUAUUGGACAAUGGGCGAAAGCCUGAUGCAGACAUGCCGCGUGUAUGAAGCAGGCCUUCGGGUUGUAAAGUCCGUUCAGCGGGGAGGCGUUACCCGAAGAAAAAGCACCGGCUAACUCCGUGCCAGCAGCCGCGGUAAUAC
rnacentral:rRNA from 1 species